rnacentral:rRNA from 1 species
CCUCUUUUUAUUUAUUCUUUUGGGUGGGUCAGGGCGUGGAGGGCGUGGUGGGGUAGGGGAAGGAGCUCUUGGUCGGCCAGGCGGUGGCCAGGAUUUAGGCCGGCGGCGCGUCGAGGGAGGGGCCCUAGUCCGGCGGCGCGUCGAGGGAGGGGCCCUAGGCCGGUGGCGGCGGAGGAAGGGGGCCUAGGCCGGCCCUAACUAGGGUGGCGGCGGACGGUGGUGGUUCGUGACCGCACGCUGGGGCCGCGGCGGAGGGAGAUACUUCGCGGCCGCGGGCUGGGGCAGUGGAUGGAGACCAUGCGGCAGCGCGGAGGCGACGGUGGAUCCCACGGGGACUGUAGCGGGUCGAGGAGGAGUGUGCUGCUGGGGGACGCUGCGUGCGGAGGAGCUACAAGACGGGGCCUGUACCCGCGGAGGGGCAGGUGGGAGGCCGCUGGCUUUGGUCGAGGCGGGCGGCAUCGUCUCCUGUACGGGGCAAGCACCUGAGGGGAGGGGAGGCGGGACCACGCUGGACGGGACGCGAGACCGCGCCGGACGGGAGGGGAGACCACGCUGGACGAGAGACAAACGUCCUUUUUAUUUUCUUUGGCGAAAGAUGUACGUUUUCCCGUAGUUCAAAACCUUCUUCAUACCACAACUUACUUUUUUACUCCUUUUUUCCUAGGAGUUCGUUUAGUUCGUUACCUUUAGAAGGAACCAACUCGAUCAUUACGUUUCGACGUUUUUUCGACGUUUCGAAGUCAAAAUACAUUAGAACCGAUUUAACACUAUUAAAAUACAACGAUACUUGGAGACGACAUGACAAUUCUAACUUGAAAAGUGUUUCAGGAUACAACUUCGAGGAGGAAGACAAAAAGUAAAUACACAUGAAGAUGCCAAGUUAAAUUACGUUUGGUAAAAACAUGCACACUUGUAGUUUCCAAGUCACAAUGUAAGAACGAGUAAAACCACAACCAUUCCUAAAGUAGAGUUUUACGAUCACGGUCGGUUUGUACUUUAAACCUAAACAUUAAACCUAAGUCC